ensembl:lncRNA novel transcript
AUUCAAGAUGGAGACGCCCUGGUUCAGACGCCUCUGACAGAUGCUCCAAGAUGAUGUGAAGCAAAUUUCACGACUAACGAUGGCCCGAAGGCUCCUUCCCUCCACGGGAUUCUGCUCCAGCCACAGCAGAGACUAUUUUGCACACCUUCCAGACAUUGCUGCCCCAUUCCAGCAGAUACAAGUGCCCUUCUUGUCUCAUGGACUCAAUCAGGAGAUAUGAAGAUUGACAACUGAUUGGCAAAAGUGAAGUCACUGUGUGACCUGUCCUGAAAAGAUGGUGGCUGCAUCUAGAAACAGUGACGUGUUUGGGGAACAAUGGAGUAGAGUCAGAGACGCACCUACUAAGACAUUUUGGCUGCUGGGCACCUGAACAUGAGCAAUGUGAAGCUUCCGGUCAUAAAAGGCCCUGCAGCUUCCUCCAGGUUCUUUUGGAGCACUUGACUCUGCAGACACCCCCAGGCCCCAUGAUCAAGAGUCCUGGACAUGCCGAGGCUUUACUGCACCUCACCCAGCUCAGGAACCAGAUGUGAGCAAAAACGCUUCCAGGUAAUGUCAGCAGAAAUGAAAUGUCUCUACCGAAGGCCCAAAAGCCUUACAGUAAAGCAAGUACCGAAGACACUCACCUUAAACAGCUGCGCAGACUCAAAGGCAUGCGGUAUUCAGCAGUCAAGAAAAGCCUU